rnacentral:rRNA from 1 species
CCUACGGGUGGCAGCAGUGGGGGAUAUUGCACAAUGGGGGAAACCCUGAUGCAGCGACGCCGCGUGAGUGAAGCAGUAUUUCGGUAUGUAAAGCUCUAUCAGCAGGGAAGAAAAUGACAGUACCUGACCAAGAAGCCCCGGCUAACUAAGUGCCAGCAGCCGCGGUACCACGGAGGAGGCAAGAGGUAUCCGGCUGUACUGGGUUUAAAGGGAGCGUAGACGGUUAUGUAAGUCUGGAGUGAAAGCACGGGGCCCAACCCCGGGACUGGUUUGGAACCGGUGUAAAGGGAGGACAGGAGGGGCAGGCGGCAUGCCGGGUGUAGCGGUGAAAUGCGUAGAUAUCAGGAGGAACCCCGGCGGCGAAGGCGGCCUGCUGGACUGAAACUGACGUUGAGGCUCGAAAGCGUGGGGAGCAAACAGGAUUAGAUACCCGAGUAGUC